rnacentral:rRNA from 1 species
CAAAAAUGCACAUGCUGUGAGCUCGAUGAGUAGGGCGGGACACGUGGUAUCCUGUCUGAAUAUGGGGGGACCAUCCUCCAAGGCUAAAUACUCCUGACUGACCGAUAGUGAACCAGUACCGUGAGGGAAAGGCGAAAAGAACCCCGGCGAGGGGAGUGAAAAAGAACCUGAAACCGUGUACGUACAAGCAGUGGGAGCACGCUUAGGCGUGUGACUGCGUACCUUUUGUAUAAUGGGUCAGCGACUUAUAUUCUGUAGCAAGGUUAACCGAAUAGGGGAGCCGAAGGGAAACCGAGUCUUAACUGGGCGUUAAGUUGCAGGGUAUAGACCCGAAACCCGGUGAUCUAGCCAUGGGCAGGUUGAAGGUUGGGUAACACUAACUGGAGGACCGAACCGACUAAUGUUGAAAAAUUAGCGGAUGACUUGUGGCUGGGGGUGAAAGGCCAAUCAAACCGGGAGAUAGCUGGUUCUCCCCGAAAGCUAUUUAGGUAGCGCCUCGUGAAUUCAUCUCCGGGGGUAGAGCACUGUUUCGGCAAGGGGGUCAUCCCGACUUACCAACCCGAUGCAAACUGCGAAUACC